UGGGAUGACGUCAAGUCAGCAUGGCCUUUAUAUCCUGGGCUACACACACGCUACAAUGGGAAGGGACAAUAGGUUGCGAAGCCGCGAGGCGGAGCCAAUCCAGCAAAACUUCCCUCAGUUCAGAUUGCAGGCUGCAACCCGCCUGCAUGAAGUUGGAGUUGCUAGUAAACGCAGGUCAGCCAUACUGCGUUGAAUACGUUCCCGGGGCUU
rnacentral:rRNA from 1 species